GGCGCCCCGGCUCCCGCCGCCUCACCUCGCUCGAUGUUGGUGAUGGCCCGCCGCAGGUGCUCCUCGGUCACCAGCUCGCCGAUGACCACCAGCAGGAAAUAGCUGGAAAGAUGCCUGUGAAUUUGAAAAGAGCUCCAAAGAAUGCAUUUUAUCAGAGAAUAAAAUUCUUACAUACAGAAAACGCCUAGCAGAAAUCUUUGGGCAAGCUUCAUUCAUGGAAGUUGCUGACAGCAAAGUGAAAGGGCAAUUGGCAAAGGCAUGAUCUCUAUAGAAACACAGUCACCAGAGCCUUAUGAACUGUGUUUCCAAGAGCAGAGCUGGACAAGCUUUAACUCACAGAACGAAAACAUCUACAAAGAAGUGGUGCUUUCUUUCAAGGCACAGGCACAUAUGCUUCACAUCUCAGUAGUAACACACUGAUUCACAGCAACUGCAGCUUCUGUGACAUGUGUUUGGAUUAAAGUAAUAGAAAAUAAAUGAAAUGUUUGAAUUCCAAAAUACUGGCCAAAUCUUUUAUUUAUUGAGUUAUGUAAAAGAAUUUGCUUUUCAAUGGAUUCGAGAGGAGGCAGGGAGCAGUUGGAUGCACUGGAAUGAAACCAAUUUACAGAGCAGUUUUUAUUCUGUCGGAAAAAAAA